UGUUCACAUGGAAGUCGUUGUUGGGCAGUGACUAUAAAGAGUGUGUGUGAUUCCCAGCUGCAUCAGACGCUUCAGUUUAUCAGUCAUGGACAAAAAGUUACUGCUGGCCGUGUUGUGUCUGCAGGUUUUCCUGCUCAUCACCACCUUCACUUCCUCUGAUGCAGCCACUCUGGAGACAGAUGAUCGCAGACAGCUUCCUCAUCAGAGAAGAGCUAGAGGAUGUGAAAGAUGUCCGGAUAGAAGAUAUCCAGGAAGAUUUGACUUUUUGGGAAGGCACCGCAAUCUUAAAAGAGAAGCUUGAAAAGAUCCCACGUCCUGCAGAGAAACUUCAGUGAUCAGUGUGAUGGAAACCAGAAGUACCACUUGAGCUGUCCAUCAAACAAGCUUUGCAGUAACUGCCAUGAUAUGAAAUCUAUAUUACUAAUCGUCUGUCUCACAGAACAAAUACUUUUUUUUGUAUUAAUGCAAAAUAAAAAAAAUGAAUCAGA